rnacentral:misc_RNA from 1 species
AAGUCGUAACAAGGUUUCCGUAGGUGAACCUGCGGAAGGAUCAUUAAUGAAUGAACUUGGUGGAUUGUCGCUGGCUCUCUAGAGAGCAUGUGCACGUCUGUCAUUUUUAUCUUUCCACCUGUGAACUUUUUGUAGACCUGAACACACAAAUGUCAAUCUGAGGCAACUCAGUCGUGAGGCUUGUAGGCUUUUUUCAAUGAAAGUCGACUUUCCUUGAAGUGUUUCAGGGACUAUGUACAUCAUACACACCUUUUUUAAAAUGUAACAGAAUGAAAUACAAGGUCUUUGUACCUAUAAAACCUAUACAACUUUCAGCAACGGAUCUCUUGGCUCUC